rnacentral:tRNA from 1 species
UGCUUUGGUAGCUCAGUUGGUAGAGCACUUGCCCGUGAAAGGCAAAGGUCCCGAGUUCGAGUCUCGGUCAGGCAC